AUGGAAGAGGAGAGGAAGGGGUUCCAGCCCCACCUGAUGGGCCUGGGCGGCGGGAGGCUGAGGGGCGCGGCGGGGGCGAUGGGCCUGCAGAAGCAGAACUCGUGGUCGCCCGACAUCGAGCGGGACGAGGCGUGGGAGCGGCGGCGGCGCGGGAUACUGGCCAGGGGCCGCCGCUCGCCGCUGCAGCGCGCGCAGAGCGUCACCGACGACCAGCUCGACGAGCUGCGCGGCUCCCUCGAUCUGGGCUUCCGCUUCGACCCGCCCUCGCAGCGCUGCGCCGCCUGCGACGCCGGGAGGAGCCGCCUCGUCGAGACGCUCCCGGCGCUCGACCUCCUCUACGCCGUCGCCGCCAACGCUAACGCCGGGGGCUGCGCGGCCAGCCAGUGCUCCUGCGGCGCCUCCUCGGAGGCCUCCGAGCCGUCGCCGAUCGGGAGCCCCCUCUCCAUACUCUCCCCAGAUGACCCGCCGGAGACGGUGAAGAUGAGGCUGAAGCAGUGGGCGCAGGUGGUGGCGCUGUCCAUGCGCAGCCGUUCCUGA
rnacentral:rRNA from 1 species